rnacentral:pre_miRNA from 1 species
CACUGGUUUUUGCUGCGGUAAUAUUUCUCAGAAUCAAUAUCACCGGGUAAAAAUCAGGGCA